GAUGAACGCUGGCGGCGUGCCUAAUACAUGCAAGUCGAGCGAACAGAUAAGGAGCUUGCUCCUUUGACGUUAGCGGCGGACAGGUGAGUAACACGUGGGUAACCUACCUAUAAGACUGGGAUAACUUCGGGAAACCGGAGCUAAUACCGGAUAACAUUUGGAACCGCAUGGUUCUAAAGUGAAAGAUGGUUUUGCUAUCACUUAUAGAUGGACCCGCGCCGUAUUAGCUAGUUGGUAAGGUAACGGCUUACCAAGGCAACGACACGUAGCCGACCUGAGAGGGUGAUCGGCCACACUGGAACUGAGACACGGUCCAGACUCCUACGGGAGGCAGCAGUAGGGAAUCUUCCGCAAUGGGCGAAAGCCUGACGGAGCAAUGCCGCGUGAGUGAUGAAGGGUUUCGGCUUGUAAAACUCUUUUAUUAGGGAAGAAAAAAUGUGUAAGUAACUGUGCACGUCUUGACGGUACCUAAUCAGAAAGCCACGGCUAACUACGUG
rnacentral:rRNA from 1 species